AGAGUUUGAUCCUGGCUCAGGAUGAACGCUGGCGGCGUGCCUAAUACAUGCAAGUCGAGCGAACGGACGAGAAGCUUGCUUCUCUGAUGUUAGCGGCGGACGGGUGAGUAACACGUGGAUAACCUACCUAUAAGACUGGGAUAACUUCGGGAAACCGGAGCUAAUACCGGAUAAUAUUUUGAACCGCAUGGUUCAAAAGUGAAAGACGGUCUUGCUGUCACUUAUAGAUGGAUCCGCGCUGCAUUAGCUAGUUGGUAAGGUAACGGCUUACCAAGGCAACGAUGCAUAGCCGACCUGAGAGGGUGAUCGGCCACACUGGAACUGAGACACGGUCCAGACUCCUACGGGAGGCAGCAGUAGGGAAUCUUCCGCAAUGGGCGAAAGCCUGACGGAGCAACGCCGCGUGAGUGAUGAAGGUCUUCGGAUCGUAAAACUCUGUUAUUAGGGAAGAACAUAUGUGUAAGUAACUGUGCACAUCUUGACGGUACCUAAUCAGAAAGCCACGGCUAACUACGUGCCAGCAGCCGCGGUAAUACGUAGGUGGCAAGCGUUAUCCGGAAUUAUUGGGCGUAAAGCGCGCGUAGGCGGUUUUUUAAGUCUGAUGUGAAAGCCCACGGCUCAACCGUGGAGGGUCAUUGGAAACUGGAAAACUUGAGUGCAGAAGAGGAAAGUGGAAUUCCAUGUGUAGCGGUGAAAUGCGCAGAGAUAUGGAGGAACACCAGUGGCGAAGGCGACUUUCUGGUCUGUAACUGACGCUGAUGUGCGAAAGCGUGGGGAUCAAACAGGAUUAGAUACCCUGGUAGUCCACGCCGUAAACGAUGAGUGCUAAGUGUUAGGGGGUUUCCGCCCCUUAGUGCUGCAGCUAACGCAUUAAGCACUCCGCCUGGGGAGUACGACCGCAAGGUUGAAACUCAAAGGAAUUGACGGGGACCCGCACAAGCGGUGGAGCAUGUGGUUUAAUUCGAAGCAACGCGAAGAACCUUACCAAAUCUUGACAUCCUUUGACAACUCUAGAGAUAGAGUCUUCCCCUUCGGGGGACAAAGUGACAGGUGGUGCAUGGUUGUCGUCAGCUCGUGUCGUGAGAUGUUGGGUUAAGUCCCGCAACGAGCGCAACCCU
rnacentral:rRNA from 1 species